GUUUAGGUAAUCAUGUCGAACAUGGCUUUUAAAAAGAAAAGUAUCGCGUAGUAAAACUGCAUACACCUAAUAUCAAGUUAAAGUGUACUGUUAGCUAGCUAACAUUAGCUGGCUGGCUCACUAGCUAACUUUAUUUGUAUGCUCUCCACUUUCUGUAGGACCGAGUUUUUAAAUCAGUGGAAUUUGAGUAUGAUAGCUAAGGAGAUGGAGAAAACACCAGUCUGGAUUACAUCGUCAAACUAAGGCAACCAUGCAUGGCAUCAGACAGGAGACGCGUCCAACCAUGAUGUAUACUGGCAGGGCGGCCCAGUUCCUUAGCCCUGGGGGUCUGGACCCAGUACAGUUCUACAGGACAGGAGAGGAGAGGCUGCUUGGAUCUUUGUGUCCGACGGACCCACAUCCCACCAGGACCCAAGACCCAAGCCCAGAGACCCCCUCUCUCCCUCUCUCCCAUUAUAUCCAGGCCUCUUCCAGCCAGUAACUGCAGAGUCAUCAUUCAACAUUCUGGCGCCUUCUGAGAGCCUAUGGGAGCCGUAGAAAGUGUCACGUUACAGCAGAGAUCCUCUGUUUUGGAUAGAGAUGACAAAGAAGUCCAAGAAAUGGUCAGACAGGGUACUUCCUGUACAGAAUCUUCUCAGGUUUUGGCCUGCCAUUUGAGUUCUGUUAUACUCACAGACACUAUUCAAACAGUUUUAGAAACUUUGGAGUGUUUUCUAUCCAAAGCUACUAAUUAUAUGCAAAUUCUAGUUUCUGGGCAGGAGUAAUAACCAGAUUAAAUCGGGUACAUUUUUUAUCCGGCCGUGAAAAUACUGCCCCCUAUCCAUAACAAGUUAAGCCGCGAGGCUCAAAGCAUGGGAAAAAAGUUGCGGCUUAUUGUUCGGAAUUUACGGUAUAUAUAUUUUACAACUUUUGAAGUUAAUGUUGUGUCAUUUUUAAGUGAAAGAACCACUCUGGAAAAGGGCGGGUGUCACGUCCUGACCAGUAUAGGGGUUAUUUGUUGUUGUAGUGUGGUCAGGACGUGCCAGAGGGAGUUUGUUUUAUGUGGUUCAGGGUGUGUUUUGUGUAUGUGUUUAGGUAGAGGGGUAUUUGAUUUAUUAGUCCGGGGUUUGUUAGUCAUUGUUCUAUGUUAGUACAUUUCUAUGUUCUAUCUAGUCUUUUGUAUUUCUAUGUUUAGUUUAUUGGGGUUGGACCUUCAAUUGGAGGCAGCUUGUUAUUGUUGCCUCUGAUUGAGGGUCCUAUAAUUAGGAAUUUGUUUUUCAUGUUUUUUUAGUGGGAG
rnacentral:lncRNA from 1 species